GCAAUUGUAAUAGGAUAAAAAAAAUGAUUGUAAACAUGUUUAUUAAAAAAAAGUGUGAUAUCCUCUUUUAAUUUAUUUUUAAAAAUUGAGAAGCUUUAUACGAUUUUGUUUAUAAUUCAAAAUUAUAAAUUUAGAAAAUGACUACUAUUGUUCAGAUUUAUUUGUUAGUAUUUAUUUACACUUUUAAUUUUAAGAUAUUUCAUCCAUAAAUCAGGGAAAAUAAUUAAUGUGAUUAUUUGAUGUCUUUCUGUUUUUUUUUUUUAUUAUUUAUUCUCAUAUCUUAUUUUUCUUGCAAAUAUAUGAUGUAUUUUUUUUUAUCAGUAUUUACUCCCGAUUUUUUAUNNNNNGUCAAUAUCAUGUUUUAUAUUGGAUUUAAUCAUCUGUUAUAUUUCAUUUGCAGAUAUGUAGAAAGAAUGUGAAAUGACUCAAUUAAGAUCAAGAUAAUUGCAAUUGAGGAGAAAAUUGAUUUAUUUUUUUAUUAGGUUAGAAUUAUUUUCCGUAUUAUUUUUUAUUUAUUUAGAGUAGACCACCAAAGAGGAGAAAAGGCGAUAUAAUUUCUCAUACUCCUUUAUUCUUUUAUAUUUGGUUAGUUAAUCUUUAUUGUUAAUUUCUUUCAAAACUUGAAUGUGAUUUAUUUGAUCCAACUUUUUUCUUUUUUUGCAGAUGAUUCAAGGUUUAUUUUUGGUACUUUCAAUAUUUUUUUUAUUGGCAGUUUCAAG
rnacentral:lncRNA from 1 species